AAAUUGAAGAGUUUGAUCAUGGCUCAGAUUGAACGCUGGCGGCAGGCCUAACACAUGCAAGUCGAACGGUAACAGGAAGCAGCUUGCUGCUUCGCUGACGAGUGGCGGACGGGUGAGUAAUGUCUGGGGAUCUGCCUGAUGGAGGGGGAUAACUACUGGAAACGGUAGCUAAUACCGCAUAACGUCGCAAGACCAAAGAGGGGGACCUUCGGGCCUCUUGCCAUCAGAUGAACCCAGAUGGGAUUAGCUAGUAGGUGGGGUAACGGCUCACCUAGGCGACGAUCCCUAGCUGGUCUGAGAGGAUGACCAGCCACACUGGAACUGAGACACGGUCCAGACUCCUACGGGAGGCAGCAGUGGGGAAUAUUGCACAAUGGGCGCAAGCCUGAUGCAGCCAUGCCGCGUGUAUGAAGAAGGCCUUCGGGUUGUAAAGUACUUUCAGCGGGGAGGAAGGCGAU
rnacentral:rRNA from 1 species